UACGUAGGGGGCAAGCGUUGUCCGGAUUUAUUGGGCGUAAAGAGCGUGUAGGCGGCCUGACAGGUCUGCUGUGAAAACUCGAGGCUCAACCUCGAGAUGUCGGCGGAAACCGUCUGGCUAGAGUCCGGAAGAGGAGAGUGGAAUUCCUGGUGUAGCGGUGAAAUGCGCAGAUAUCAGGAAGAACACCUAUGGCGAAGGCAGCUCUCUGGGACGGUACUGACGCUGAGGCGCGACAGCGUGGGGAGCAAACAGG
rnacentral:rRNA from 1 species